CCACUACUUAAAGUGCACACCUUCUCUAAAAGUGAUUCAUAUUACAAACAACAUGCAUAGGUUUUCCAAAUAUGUUAAAUAAGUAAAGAAAUUAAUAUGGAGACACGUGAAAGAAAAGCCAAUAACAUCCUACGAUAAUAGCCAAGGAAGGAAAUAAGCCAACUACUCUAACUUGGAUAUUAGGCGCUAUAUUUUAUAAUAAGCAUAAUGUUGCCUCGAAGCCACCUCUAAAGAAAAAAUGUCUUUAUAUUGUAUUCCAUAAUGUGAUUUAACAUAUGACAGUAAUGUCUUCCAAUAAGGACGAUCGGUUUCGUGGAUCUAGACAAUGCUUGUGACAUGGUACCUAGACAUGGAUUAUGAAGGGUUUUUAUCACGAGUAUUUACGAAGGGGCUGUGAUUAUAUAAAAAAUAAUGCAGGAGAGACUUACGGGGUUUAGAGUUGUUAAGGCAUAUCAAAGGCAUUUUAAAGUUCUUAAUUGUUUGUUUUAAGGAGGUAGACUUGCAACUUUAGUUCUCUACCUACCUUUUCUUAUUUGAAAUCAGUUCUUGAAUAUUACUUUAUGGGUGAAAAAAUAUGUAUAGAUACUACAUAAUGGUGUUCUCAGAGCAAAAGGACCACAUGCAGAAAAUGUUGGACCCUUCUAGGGUUGAACAAAGACUGCCUGUUCAAAGAAUAUGUUACUUCAGCAAAAUUUCUAAAUGGUCAAUAUCUAAGUAACCAUAGGUCUAUUUUACGAUAUUUCUAGUCUUUUGAGUUGCGCACUGUUUAUGAUUUAGUCAACAUUGGAACCAAUAAUGAUAAAUCCUAUAUCAAUAAUGAUCCUCUUGGUCUUUCAAGGAAACAGAUUGAGGCAAUUAUUGUUAUGUAGAGGCAAACCUGACAAUUGUUUGCUAAAUAAUUUUCACGUAUGUAUUACAUCCUUUUAUAGUAUUACAGAGAU
rnacentral:lncRNA from 1 species